rnacentral:rRNA from 1 species
GACGAACGCUGGCGGCGUGCCUAAUACAUGCAAGUCGAAAGCAGUGGGGACGGGUGAGUAACACGUGGGUAACCUCCCAUCAGAGGGGAUAACACUUGGAAACAGGUGCUAAAACCGAUAAUGAUGGCUGGACCCGCGGUGCAUUAGCUAGUUGGGGCGGUAACGGCUCACCAAGGCCACGAUGCAUAGGCGAACUGAAAGGGUGAUCGGCCACACGUGGACUGAGACACGGCCCAGACUCCUACGGGAGGCAGCAGUAGGGAAUAUUCGGCAAUGGACGAAAGUCUGACCGAGCAACGCCGCGUGAGUGAAGAAGGUUUUCGGAUCGUAAAACUCUGUUGUUAGAGAAGCGGUAUCUAACCAGAAAGCCCCGGCUAACUCCGUGCCAGCAGCCGCGGUAAUUC